UCUGGUCUUGGGACACUGUCAGGUGGGCAGUUUGACUGGGGCGGUCGCCUCCCAAAAGGUAACGGAGGCGCUCAAAGGUUCUCUCAGUACGGUCGGAAAUCGUACGUAGAGUGUAAAGGCAAAAGAGAGCUUGAUUGCAAGACAUACAGGUCGAGCAAGGAUGAAAAUCGGACUUAGUGAUCCGGUGGUUCUGCGUGGAAGGGCCAUCGCUCAACGGAUAAAAGCUACCCUGGGGAUAACAGGCUUAUCUCCCCCAAGAGUCCACAUCGACGGGGAGGUUUGGCACCUCGAUGUCGGCUCAUCACAUCCUGGGGCUGUAGUAGGUCCCAAGGGUUGGGCUGUUCGCCCAUUAAAGUGGUACGCGAGCUGGGUUCAGA
rnacentral:rRNA from 1 species